rnacentral:rRNA from 1 species
ACGAACCGUGCGAACGUUGUUCGGAUUCACUGGGCUUAAAGGGCGCGUAGGCGGACGUUCAAGUCAGGGGUGAAAUCCUUCAGCUUAACUGGAGAAGUGCCUCUGAUACUGAUCGUCUCGAGGGAGGUAGGGGCAUGUGGAACUUCCGGUGGAGCGGUGAAAUGCGUAGAUAUCGGAAGGAACGCCGGUGGCGAAAGCGACGUGCUGGACCUCUUCUGACGCUGAGGCGCGAAAGCUAGGGGAGCGAACGGGAUUAGAUACCCCGGUAGUCCUAGCCCUAAACGAUGGGUACUAGAUUGUGGACUUAACAUGGGUUCACAGUCGAAGCAAAAGUGUUAAGUACCCCGCCUGGGGAGUAUGGUCGCAAGGCUG